rnacentral:tRNA from 1 species
GGCCGAGUGGCGGAAUGGCAGACGCUGGGGACUUAAAAUCCCCUGCCCGAAUGGGCGUGUGGGUUCGACUCCCACCUCGGCUA